UAGGGAAUCUUCCACAAUGGACGCAAGUCUGAUGGAGCAACGCCGCGUGAGUGAAGAAGGUCUUCGGAUCGUAAAGCUCCGUUGUUGGUGAAGAAGGAUAGAGGCAGUAACUGGUCUUUAUUUGACGGUAAUCAACCAGAAAGUCACGGCUAACUACGUGCCAGCAGCCGCGGUAAUACGUAGGUGGCAAGCGUUGUCCGGAUUUAUUGGGCGUAAAGCGAGCGCAGGCGGAAUGAUAAGUCUGAUGUGAAAGCCCACGGCUCAACCGUGGAACUGCAUCGGAAACUGUCAUUCUUGAGUGCAGAAGAGGAGAGUGGAACUCCAUGUGUAGCGGUGGAAUGCGUAGAUAUAUGGAAGAACACCAGUGGCGAAGGCGGCUCUCUGGUCUGCAACUGACGCUGAGGCUCGAAAGCAUGGGUAGCGAACAGGAUUAGAUACCCUGGUAGUCCAUGCCGUAAACGAUGAGCGCUAGGUGUUGGGGACUUUCCGGUCCUCAGUGCCGCAGCAAACGCAUUAAGCGCUCCGCCUGGGGAGUACGACCGCAAGGUUGAAAC
rnacentral:rRNA from 1 species